rnacentral:lncRNA from 1 species
UCAGAUCCUCACGGAGACAACCUUACCUACUCUGUGUUCUACACAAAGGAAGGGAUUGCUAGGUAAGUGCCUGUGUGUCUGCAGCCAGUUGGCUGCCUCUUGGUCACGGCAGCCUUGUCAUGCUCACCCUGGCUCUUGGUAUCUGUACCAAUUUUUAGUCCAGAAAAUAAGAUCACUGAGAUGCACCUUCCCUAAUUUUAGGUCAUUAAAUAAACUCCCAAACAGAUAAAGCAGUGAUCCUCAACCAGGGACAGUUUUGCCCCCUCAUCCCUCGGGAUAUUUGGCAAUGCCUGGUACAACGUCAGUAAGUACCAGUAGAGAUACUUACUGACAUCUAGUGGAUAGAGGCCAGGGAUGCUGAUGAACAUCCUGCCAUGCAUAGGACAGUCCCACAACAAAGAAUUAUCCUGCCCAAUGUCUCAGUAGUGCCAAGGUUGAGAAACCCUGGCAUGGAGACUGUCUGGUGAGAUAUGCGUCAAUAUGUGCCAC